CACAAGAUUCAAAACAGAACAAAGUUAAUAUAUGUUUAUCACCUCUCAUAAGUAAACGAUGUACCGUUUGGCUGAUAUUUAUUUUUGACAAUUAUAUGUCCAUAUCCUGAUUGUGGGAUGAGAGGUAACCAAACAGGUAUCAAUUAUUCAGAAAAUUAACCAAAAUUUGGACAUCGAGAGAGCGAUGUAAUACUUUUUGUUGUAAUCCAAGUUUUGUCUGUCUUGGAAGGUAAGCCAUAAUCCUUAUUAAAACAUAUCCAAGACUCACCAACAAACUAUUGUUUCCAGUGAUUAUAUAAGACCUAUUGUGCAUGUCAUUAGUUAAUGUAUCAAUUGGCUAACCACCCUGCUAGUUUUGAUCGAACAUCUCUGGAUAAAUCUGUGUUUAUACGCUCCCGGAAACUAACUUGGCCAAUCCAAAAAAAAGUAGAAUGCUAAAACUCCCAAAUAAUAGGUUAGUUCAAGCCACGGAGGGUUAUGUUAGGAGGAUGGCUUUCCUCACGUCUUGUUGGUUUAUCCUUGAAUCUAUCCUCUUCCCAGAUGGAUUUCUGAAGUUGUUUUAUCUCAGCUUCUACAUCCACCCGCUAUUGCUCUUUCUCUUUCAGAUUUCCCUUUGGAUAAAACUACUACAAAGAUGGCUUCCCCUCCUUGUCUUACUACAAAGAUGGCUUCCCCUCCUUGUCUCACUAGCGAUUUUGUAGCGUCUAAAAUUUGCAGGGUGUUUCCUAGUAUCCUCUCUGUUUUCCCAUUCAUUAGAAUCGCCAAUGAUGAGUUUGCAAAUGAGGCGGAGGAGCACGAAAUUCCAAGUGCUACUAUUAAAAAUCAGAUGGCAGAUUCGUAUUCCUCUUGCUAUGCAGUAUCCAAUAAAAAUGAAGCUGAAGUAUAUGCACUACACACGGAAGAGGUUGAAGCAGACACUGAUUGCAGUGACAGCUCACUACUAGUGGAGUCGAUUAUAAGAGAACCCCGUCUGCUUAUCGAUGAAGACAGAAGCUUGGAGGUGUAUAUGCCUUCUGAGAGCAGCUCCAUUUCACCUCCCCAAGAUGAUGAAAUUAAUGGAACUUUGACAUCAUUGUGUAGCUCUAAUGCACCACCAAUCGUUGAGGGAGAGUUGAUCAAUCAAACCAUGGAGGCCGACGUAGAUUCAAUCUAUCAGAAAUACACUGAAAGUAUGAGAUGGUUUGAUUUGCGUAAUCAUGAUAGAACAUGUGGAAUAAGUAGAUACUCAUAAUCAUAAACUGAUUUACAAACAGAACGUUAAUAUUUGAGAAUACAUUUACAACGAUAUGAAAAAUUAGUUGCAGAAGCAGGAGGCAUAUGAGGUGAAUUCAGAGCAUGCUAUUAUCUUCUUGUUUCGUUAGUGGCAUAUUGACUGGCUAUUUUGUAUGCAGGUGCAAUCUUGAACAAGCAAUUGGCUUCUCUUAGUUCAUUUGAGGAUAUAAAAAGCCUGUGGAAUUCUCCAUUCCACAGAUUUCAUGGAGCAAGAUGGCUAGAAGAAGGCUAAUAAGAAGCUUAGAAAGUGACUGCGAAUUGGUUUAUGUGGCUCAAUCAUGCUUAUCCUGGGAAGUACUCCAUUACCAGUACCGAAAAGUUGAGGCUCUCUUACGUUCAAACUCUAAAAAUGGCGAUUUUUACAAUAAUGUCGUCUGGAGAUUUCAAAAGUUUCAAAUACUUCUAGAGAGAUUUACGGAAGAUGAAAGGUGCGAGGGCAAAAGGUACUGGAAUUAUGUUCAAAGAAGGUUAACUUUCAGGAGUCUACUCCAAGUUCCUCAGGUUUCAGGUUAUACGGAGGAAAGAGAAGAUAAUGAAACUAAGGGAGAAGCCAUGAGGGUAACAGAGGUGUUGCAGGGCAUAGAGAAAUGCAUAAAGGCCUUUUGGAUGUACAUAAAAACAGACCAAAAGAAACCGUGGUGGAAAAUGAGUAAAUUCAUGUGGACUUAUCCUCCGGUAGAAGACCCUUGAGACCUGGAGCUCCUAGCAAAUCUUACUAAGACGCUCCGAAAGGUAAUUCCAGUUACGUAUCUGCAUAGCAAAGAUCACAUUCAAAUAUCAGUUGCUGAAAUUUGGAGAACUCUGAAUUUUAUGCAUUUUUAGUUUCAUCAUAAACUUUUCAUCGUGAUUUAGGAUUUGAUCAACAUAAUAUA